rnacentral:rRNA from 1 species
UACGAAGGGGGCUAGCGUUGCUCGGAAUCACUGGGCGUAAAGCGCACGUAGGCGGAUUUCUAAGUCAGGGGUGAAAUCCUGGAGCUCAACUCCAGAACUGCCUUUGAUACUGGGAAUCUCGAGUCCGGGAGAGGUGAGUGGAACUGCGAGUGUAGAGGUGAAAUUCGUAGAUAUUCGCAAGAACACCAGUGGCGAAGGCGGCUCACUGGCCCGGUACUGACGCUGAGGUGCGAAAGCGUGGGUAGCAAACAGG